UACGUAGGGUGCGAGCGUUGUCCGGAAUUAUUGGGCGUAAAGAGCUCGUAGGCGGUCUGUCGCGUCGAUCGUGAAAACUUGGGGCUUAACCCUGAGCUUGCGGUCGAUACGGGCAUGACUGGAGUUCGGCAGGGGAGACUGGAAUUCCUGGUGUAGCGGUGAAAUGCGCAGAUAUCAGGAGGAACACCGGUGGCGAAGGCGGGGUCUCUGGGCAACAACUGACGCUGAGGAGCGAAAGCGUGGGGAGCGAACAGGG
rnacentral:rRNA from 1 species